AUGGGUGAGUCCAUUAGACUGUCAGGCCUUUCUGAACCGUGUGUUUUUCCAUCUAUUUUCUAUGAGAUGCUAAUGCAAGGAUUAGUGAUAGAAUACUAUUUUCAGUCAGCCUGCAUGACAAAUGACAUUCCAAAAAGAAUAUAUUUAAUAAGUAAAAAAUGGUUUCUCAGUGAACCUGCUUUAAAUCUUCACUGUCUGAUUGGCUGUAUUGAUGUUUCAUUACUAACAUUUGCAGAAAGAGAACUGCUGUAUGUAAUUCGUGUUUGCAUCCUUUUGUGUCUGUCUCUUAUACACAUCUGGCAGAUGCUGCUUGUCCAAAGUAACUUGCAUUUUUUCACCCACGCAGGAAACUCUGUGGGGGUUCAGCGUCUUCCUCGAGGAUAUUACCAACAAGAAAACAUAAUGAGUCAUGGAAUAAAUGUUAAAAUGUAUUAUUUGUCAUCUGAGGUGUUGCAACUUCCCCUCAACAAAGGUCAGUGACAUGAAUGAGGAGAUAUGCACCACGGCAGACUAAAGGAGAAGUGUGCAACCUGUUAAAAUAACACUUUUAGUUUAUUCCCACCUUUGGAGUUUGCACAUAACGUCAGCCAGAGAGCAGGACAAACACUCAAAAUGAAAAUGAUGACUCUUGGUUAUCUGUGAUACUUGCCAAACAACACAAUACUAAUGGAGUGGCUUUAAGUGUUGAGGAGGUAAUGGACACCCUGCUCUUAACAGCUCAGUGACUUUCUCGUGACAAAAAGAAACACACUCUAAGACUUUUGAUUCAAACUCAGGUUUUGAGUCUGAGAGCGAGGCACCAAAUCCAAUAGCGUCAUCGUAUCAGCAGCAGAUCCGGCAGUCUCACCUUCACACUUGGUGACACACACUGAACACAUUUCACUGCCAACACUUUCACAUCAAGCUUCUUGUAAAAUAAAAAUGUCACAACUUGCAAAAUAAGCCCAAACUCAUAAAAGCUUUGAGUGUCUGUUUGUAUUUCAGCUUCUGAGGUGCAGUUACUUGCAUGCCAGUUCAUUACUUAUUUUACUUUUUUCCUCUUAAGGCCAGUUUAUGAAGGAUUUCUCUGCCUUUACACUUAUUAUUGUAGAUAAAGAUCUCACUUUUGCCUUUAAUGAAUGUGCUGCGUGGAUCUGAAAGGGUAUGCGUACGUGCGUGCACGUGUGUGUGUGUGCAUGCCACCUGGCCAGGCUGGCCAGCUACUCUUCCUCAGGGCCAUGCAGCUAUGUCCAGACCUGUCUGGUUGAAGCUUUGUGUUUGACGCGCACAAAUUAGAAUCGUCUCCUGUUUGGUUUCGUGUGGUUGUGCUUCCUGCAAAUGACUAAUGUAUGAGCAUUAUGCAGUGGAUUCAGAGAUAAAGAUGUGGGCAGGUGUAAAACAAGUGCCAGAAACGUUUAUCUAAUGCAACCAACAUUUGAUUUAAAAAAAAGUCUGCAACAGAAAUGGUUGCACAAAGGGGGAAUGAAAAAAACAUAAGGGUCGUUUCCACGAUCAGAACUUCCGGGUAAUUUUAUCAGAUUGUCAUAGCACGUGCGUGCUUGGACGUAAUUUUUUUUGGGGGGGGGGCCCCCCCCACACUUUUUCCAAAGUCGAUUGACCCCUGCACUUUUUACCAUCCAAAAACAAUAUUACGCUAUAUUAAAUUGACACUGGUUGAGCUCUAGGACCAAGCGGAAAACAACCGUUUGUGUUGAAGCCUGUUUCCCAUUAGAGCAUACUGUCAAGACACCCCCCCACCCGCCCCCCCCCUUCAAAAGUGACCAUUACCUCCUUGCCCCCUUACAGGAAGCUUU
rnacentral:lncRNA from 1 species